UCCAAAUCCACACGGUCAUCAUGGGCAAA
rnacentral:piRNA from 1 species